GAUGAACGCUGACAGAAUGCUUAACACAUGCAAGUCAACUGUGGCGGACGGGUGCGUAACGCGUAAAGAACUUGCCUCACGGCUAGGGACCACAUUUGGAAACGAAUGCUAAUACAUGAUACUGUGAGAGAGCUUUGCGUCCCAUUAGCUAGUUGGAUAGGUACCGGCUCACCAAGGCGAGGAUGGGUGGCCGGCCUGAGGGGGUGAUCGGCCACAAGGGGACUGAGACACUGUCCUUACGCCUACGGUAGGCAGCAGUGGGGAAUAUUGGACAAUGGACCAAAGUCUGAUCCAGCAAUUCUGUUUGCACGAUGAAGUUUUCGGAAUGUAAAGUGCUUUCAGUUGGGAAGCGGUACCAACAGAAGAAGUGACGGCUAAAUACGUGCCAGCCGCCGCGGUAAUAC
rnacentral:rRNA from 1 species